rnacentral:misc_RNA from 1 species
AUAUAUCAAUCUCUUCAGCUUUUGGCUUGUUGAGUGUUGGAUGUGGGGGUUUUUUUUGCUGGUCUUCUCAGAUCAGCUCCCCUGAAAUGCAUUAGCAGAACAAUUUGUGGAUCGUUCAUUGGUGUGAUAACUAUCUACGCUAUUGACGCGAAGCAGUUCAGCUUCUAACAGUCCAUUGACUUGGACAAAUUUCAUUA